rnacentral:tRNA from 1 species
GGCCCGUAGCUCAGUUGGUUAGAGCAGAGGACUUAACGAAACAAAUCCUAAACGGCGGGCAACCGCCGCAUGGCAAGUUUCUAAUGGGUUGCCUGUUGCCA